rnacentral:lncRNA from 1 species
UGCCAUCAAUGUCGUCACGGAUAAGCACACUAAGUUCCUCGCAGUCAUCCUUAAUAUGUGAGUAAUCUACACUCAGCUCAAAAAGAUUCCGCUCUUUCAUCAAUUUUACUUCACCCACAAAGUAAGGUAUUUCACUCCUUCCACAAUAAUGUGAACUGGAGGGUAAAAUUUAAAAUAGUCAAUCAAUACAGAAUCAAAAAAGAAAAACACUUCAAAAUAAAAGGAGCAAGGUAGAUGCAUACGUAUCAAGGAAAACACGAAACAAUAUGGAAGCAUUAGAUUGAGAAGCUGUGCUUGCAGCUUCAGAGGUGUUCAGCAUUUUGAUCUUCAGGGGUUUCAGCAUUUUGAUCUUCAGGGGUUUCAGCAACUUUAGGGGUGUCAGCAGCUUCAGAGGUUUCAGCAGCAGCUUCAGGGGUGUCAGCAGCUUCAGAGGUGUCAGCAGCAGCUUUAGGGGUGUCAGCAGCUUCAGAGGUUUCAGCAGCAGCUUGAGAAGGCAAGAGAGGUGGAAAUUGUUCUCCAUCAGCUGACAUGUCACUAGGUUGAAAUACAGGAGUGUUGCUAGUUUCACACUUCUUUCUACUAGCUGCUGCUGCUUUCUUAACUCUC